rnacentral:lncRNA from 1 species
AUGGAUUCGGGAGAAAGGGAGAACUCAAAAACCUCAUUUGACCCAUUAAUUAGGGCUACUCUGCUUCUUGUCAUCUAUUUUGGAGGGGGCAUGGGAGGAGAAAGAGGAAGGAUGCUUCACAGCAUUGCUCAGCACUCACCCUCUCCAACCUUUUCAUGUCCCCAUCAUAGUGUCUAUGCCCCAGUUCCCUCGACUGGCAACCUCUUCUCAUGGUCCCAUUUGACUCCGACUCCCAACUUAGCAGGCAGAUCUGGGGACAUUUUUCUUUGCAAACAACCAUUUUCACCACAAAUGCCAAGGUAUCAGCUGGGAUCAAAUUCUGAAGUACUUGUGAAAGUACCUGUUUUCACACAUGGCUGCAAGCAAGGUAAAUAUUCACAAGGUUAUGCAAAGUAUUGGGUAAUACUGGAUCUGGUAUGUUUGGUCUCUAUUGGUUGUGCAUGAAUUUUACCCUAUUUAUUUUUUCUACAUCCACAGCUUUUUGAUUCCUCACCUUGAGCCAAUUCAUUUCAGGGGAGACUUUAUCUUUUCCCUUUCAUUUCCUGAGAAUAUCUGCCACAGAUGCUACUUUAGCACACAGAUUACAUUACAACAAUUAAAAGAUCCCGGGUAUUAUUUCUGUUUAUACUUGCCUAACUGGCAAAAGCAAAAGCAAAAGAACACACGGGUUUCAGCAGAAGCAAAGUCUAGUGAUUUUCAUAAAUCCUUGCACCAG